GAAUACGUGUAAAUCUAUGGCUGAUUCAUAUCAAUGUAUGACAGCCUCUCAUAGUGUCCCAUGCCAGAGCAAAUGCGGCCCCGAACCAUUGCCUGGCCUCUGCCAGUAGGCUGCAGGCACUGAAGCGGGUUGCACAGUG